rnacentral:lncRNA from 1 species
GGAGGAGCAAGCUAGAGAGCUUUGGGGAAGACAUUAGAGGUUGGACGAAGAGAGCAGAGAGCUUUAGAGAGAGGGAGAGAUUUUUCUGGAGAGUUUCCUUGAGCUUAAGCUGCUUUUGCUGAAGGAGUGAGGUCUUUUGGGUGAGGGUUAGAACUAGAGAGGAAGGUGAUUUUUCUGGUCAUUUAGGAGGAUGUUUUCUUGAGGAGUAAACUUUGAUAGUUUUGCUGGGGUUUUCUUGAGCUUGAGAGGCAAGGAAGCUUUGAGGAAGAAGAUGAAGUGGCGGAUGAA